rnacentral:rRNA from 1 species
AUUUCUGGUGGAACCUGCCCGAUCUCAUCUGCUCUCAGAAGCUAAGCAGGGUCGGGCCUGGUUCGUACUUGGACGGGAGAAUUUCUGGUGAAACAAAGCACCGGCAUUU